UAAGGAAUAUUGGUCAAUGGAGGGAACUCUGAACCAGCCAUGCCGCGUGAAGGAUGACGGCCCUCUGGGUUGUAAACUUCUUUUGGAUGGGGCGAAAAAACGGGAUUUAUCCUGGACUGACGGUACCAUCAGAAUAAGCACCGGCUAACUCCGUGCCAGCAGCCGCGGUAAUACGGAGGGUGCAAGCGUUAUCCGGAAUCACUGGGUUUAAAGGUGCGUAGGCGGUUGUAUAAGUCAGGGUGGAAAGACACGCAGCUUAACUAGUGUAAUUGCCUUUGUAUACUGUACGGCUUGAAUAAGGGUUGGAGGUUGGUCGGGAAUGUGACAUGUAGCGGUGAAAUAGCAUAGAUAUGUCAUAGAACACCGAUUGCGAAGGCAGCUGACUGGGCCUAUAUUGACGCU
rnacentral:rRNA from 1 species